AUUGAACGCUGGCGGCAGGCCUAACACAUGCAAGUCGAGCGGAUGAAGGGAGCUUGCUCCUGGAUUCAGCGGCGGACGGGUGAGUAAUGCCUAGGAAUCUGCCUGGUAGUGGGGGAUAACGUCCGGAAACGGGCGCUAAUACCGCAUACGUCCUGAGGGAGAAAGUGGGGGAUCUUCGGACCUCACGCUAUCAGAUGAGCCUAGGUCGGAUUAGCUAGUUGGUGGGGUAAAGGCCUACCAAGGCGACGAUCCGUAACUGGUCUGAGAGGAUGAUCAGUCACACUGGAACUGAGAAACGGUCCAGACUCCUACGGGAGGAAGCAGUGGGGAAUAUUGGACAAUGGGCGAAAGCCUGAUCCAGCCAUGCCGCGUGUGUGAAGAAGGUCUUCGGAUUGUAAAGCACUUUAAGUUGGGAGGAAGGGCAGUAAGUUAAUACCUUGCUGUUUUGACGUUACCAACAGAAUAAGCACCGGCUAACUUCGUG
rnacentral:rRNA from 1 species